rnacentral:rRNA from 1 species
GACGGACGCUGGCGGCGUGCUUAACACAUGCAAGUCGAACGAUGACGACCGAGCUUGCUCGGUCUGAUUAGUGGCGAACGGGUGAGUAACACGUGAGCAACCUGCCCUUCACUCUGGGAUAACCUCGGGAAAUCGGGGCUAAUACCGGAUAUGAGCUCCUGUCGCAUGGCGGGUGUUGGAAAGUUUUUCGGUGAAGGAUGGGCUCGCGGCCUAUCAGUUUGUUGGUGAGGUAGUGGCUCACCAAGGCGAUGACGGGUAGCCGGCCUGAGAGGGCGAACGGCCACACUGGGACUGAGACACGGCACAGACUCCUAAGGGAGGCAGCAGUGGGGAAUAUUGCACAAUGGGCGAAAGCCUGAUGCAGCGACGCCGCGUGAGGGAUGACGGCCUUCGGGUUGUAAACCUCUUUCAGCAGGGAAGAAGCGAAAGUGACGGUACCUGCAGAAGAAGCGCCGGCUAACUACGUG